AGGUCAAGCUACUAAGAGCACAGGGUGGAUGCCUAGGCACCAGGAGCCGAUGAAGGACGUGGUAAGCUGCGAAAAGCUGCGGUGAGGCGCAAACAGCCGUUGACCCGCAGAUGUCCGAAUGGGGGAACCCACCUGAGGUAAAUGCUCAGGUAUCCGUACAUGAAUACAUAGUGUACGGAGGGGAGACGCAGGGAACUGAAACAUCUAAGUACCUGCAGGAAAAGAAAUCAACCGAGAUUCCGCGAGUAGUGGCGAGCGAAAGCGGAGGAGGCCAAACCGUAUGAGGUAACUCAUGCGGGGUUGUGGACUGGCGUAAUGAUCGCGGAGCAUAGCAGAAUGAGCGGCUGGAAAGCCGAGACCGUAGAGGGUAACAGUCCCGUAUGCGAAAUGCGAAGCGACAGGCCAGGAUCCGGAGUACCACGAGGCACGAGGAACCUUGUGGGAAGCAGGGGGGACCACCCUCCAAGCCUAAAUACUACCUGGUGACCGAUAGUGGAGGAGUACCGUGAGGGAAAGGUGAAAAGAACCCCGGGAGGGGAGUGAAAGAGAACCUGAAACCCUGUGUUUACAAGCAGUCGGAGAGCGUUAAAGCUCGACGGCGUACUUUUUGUAGAACGGUCCGGCGAGUUACAUUGCAAGGCGAGGUUAAGUACCUUAAGGUACGGAGCCGAAGGGAAACCGAGUCCGAAUAGGGCGUAUAGUCUUGCGGUGUAGACCCGAAACCGGGUGACCUACCCAUGACCAGGUUGAAGCGGGAGUAAAGUCUCGUGGAGGACCGAACCCACUGACGUUGAAAAGUCAUGGGAUGAGUUGUGGGUAGCGGUGAAAUUCCAAUCGAACCCGGAGAUAGCUGGUUCUCCCCGAAAUAGCUUUAGGGCUAGCCUCAGGUUAGUCUAUCGGAGGUAAAGCACUGACUGGACUAGGGGCCUUACCGGGUUACCGAAUCCUAUCAAACUCUGAAUGCCGAAUAGACGAUGCCUGGGAGUCAGACUAUGGGGGAUAAGCUUCAUAGUCGAGAGGGGAACAGCCCAGACCGCCGACUAAGGUCCCAAAAUCACAGCUAAGUGGGAAAGGAUGUGGGCUUGCUAAGACAACUAGGAUGUUGGCUUAGAAGCAGCCAUUCAUUCAAAGAGUGCGUAACAGCUCACUAGUCGAGUGAGCCUGCGCCGAAAAUUUAACGGGGCUAAGCUGUGUACCGAAGUUGCGGAUCCAGAGAUGGGUGGUAGGGGAGCGUAGUGUACGGGCAGAAGCAUGACCGAAAGGACAUGUGGACCGUACAGUAGUGAGAAUGCCGGAAUGAGUAGCGAAAGUGAAGUGAGAAUCUUAACCGCCGAAAGUCUAAGGUUUCCUGGGGAAGGCUCGUCCGCCCAGGGUAAGUCGGGACCUAAGCCGAGGCCGGAAGGCGUAGGCGAUGGACAACAGGUUGAAAUUCCUGUACCACCGUUACCCGAUUGAGAGAAGGGGUGACGCAGGGAGAUAGAGUGAGCGAGCUGAUGGAAUAGCUCGUCCAAAGGGAAUAGGUAGUCCGGUAGGCAAAUCCGCCGGACGUUCCGAAGCCCUGAAGGGGAGGGAAAAUAAAGUACCGAAGCACUCGACUCUGCACUGACAAGAAAAGCCUCUAUCGAGGGUAAAGGUGCCCGUACCGCAAACCGACACAGGUAGACGAGGAGAGAAUCCUAAGGCGAGCGGGAGAAGCGUUGUUAAGGAACUCGGCAAAUUGACCCCGUAAGUUCGCGAGAAGGGGUGCUCGAAGGUGAAAGCCGGAGAGCCGCAGAGAAAUGGCCCAAGCAACUGUUUACCAAAAACACAGGUCUCUGCCAAAUCGAAAGAUGAGGUAUAGGGGCUGACGCCUGCCCGGUGCUGGAAGGUUACGGGGAACCGUUAGCGGAAACGCGAAGCGGUGAACUUAAGCCCCAGUAAACGGCGGCCGUAACUAUAACGGUCCUAAGGUAGCGAAAUUCCUUGUCGGGUAAGUUCCGACCCGCACGAAUGGCGUAAUGACUUGGGCACUGUCUCGACAACGCGCCCGGUGAAAUUGUAGUACUCGUGAAGAUGCGAGUUACCCGCGACUAGACGGAAAGACCCCAUGGAGCUUUACUGUAGCCUGAUACUGUAUUUCGAUAUCUCAUGUACAGGAUAGGAGGGAGGCUGAGAAGCCGGGACGCCAGUUCUGGUGGAGCCGACGGUGGGAUACCUCUCUUGAGAUAUUGAAGUACUAACCAGAUACCAUGAAACUGGUAUUGGGACACUGUCAGGUGGGCAGUUUGACUGGGGCGGUCGCCUCCCAAAGGGUAACGGAGGCGCCCAAAGGUUACCUCAGCACGGUUGGAAAUCGUGCGAAGAGUGUAAAGGCAUAAGGUAGCCUGACUGUGAGACAGACGUGUCGAGCAGGCACGAAAGUGGGGCUUAGUGAUCCGGCGGUAGAGAGUGGAAUUGCCGUCGCUCAACGGAUAAAAGCUACCCUGGGGAUAACAGGCUUAUCUCCCCCAAGAGUCCACAUCGACGGGGAGGUUUGGCACCUCGAUGUCGGCUCAUCGCAUCCUGGAGCUGAAUUCGGUUCCAAGGGUUCGGCUGUUCGCCGAUUAAAGCGGUACGCGAGCUGGGUUCAGAACGUCGUGAGACAGUUCGGUCCCUAUCUGUCGCGGGCGUAGGAUAUUUGAAGGGAGCUGUCCCUAGUACGAGAGGACCGGGAUGGACGAACCUCUGGUGCACCAGUUGUCACGCCAGUGGCACAGCUGGGUAGCCAAGUUCGGAAGGGAUAAACGCUGAAGGCAUCUAAGCGUGAAGCCCCCCCUAAGAUGAGAUAUCCCACCGAAAGGGUAAGACCCCAUGUAGACUACAUGGUAGAUAGGCCAGGGGUGUAAGUGCAGCGAUGCACUGAGCUGACUGGUACUAAUAGGUCGAGGGCUUGACCAAA
rnacentral:rRNA from 1 species